rnacentral:rRNA from 1 species
CAGUCGAGCGGCAGCGACAUAAACAAACCUUCGGGGGCGUUUAUGGGCGGCGAGCGGCGGACGGGUGAGUAAUGCCUGGGAAAUUGCCCUGAUGUGGGGGAUAACCAUUGGAAACGAUGGCUAAUACCGCAUGAUAGCUUCGGCUCAAAGAGGGGGACCUUCGGGCCUCUCGCGUCAGGAUAUGCCCAGGUGGGAUUAGCUAGUUGGUGAGGUAAGGGCUCACCAAGGCAACGAUCCCUAUCUGGUCUGAGAGGAUGAUCACCCACACUGGGACUGAGACACGGCCCAGACUCCUACGGGAGGCAGCAGUGGGGAAUAUUGCACAAUGGGCGCAAGCCUGAUGCAGCCAUGCCGCGUGUGUGAAGAAGGCCUUCGGGUUGUAAAGCACUUUCAGCAGUGAGGAAGGCAAUGUAUUUAAUAGAUGCAUUGUUUGACGUUAGCUGCAGAAGAAGCACCGGCUAACUCCGUG